rnacentral:rRNA from 1 species
AUACAUGCAGUCGAGCGAAUGGAUUNGAGAGCUUGCUCUCAAGAAGUUAGCGGCGGACGGNGUGAGUAACACGUGGGUAACCUGCCCAUAAGACUGGGAUAACUCCGGGAAACCGGGGCUAAUACCGGAUAACAUUUUGAACUGCAUGGUUCGAAAUUGAAAGGCGGCUUCGGCUGUCACUUAUGGAUGGACCCGCGUCGCAUUAGCUAGUUGGUGAGGUAACGGCUCACCAAGGCAACGAUGCGUAGCCGACCUGAGAGGGUGAUCGGCCACACUGGGACUGAGACACGGCCCAGACUCCUACGGGAGGCAGCAGUAGGGAAUCUUCCGCAAUGGACGAAAGUCUGACGGAGCAACGCCGCGUGAGUGAUGAAGGCUUUCGGGUCGUAAAACUCUGUUGUUAGGGAAGAACAAGUGCUAGUUGAAUAAGCUGGCACCUUGACGGUACCUAACCAGAAAGCCACGGCUAACUACGUGCCAGCAGCCGCGGUAAUACGUAGGUGGCAAGCGUUAUCCGGAAUUAUUGGGCGUAAAGCGCGCGCAGGUGGUUUCUUAAGUCUGAUGUGAAAGCCCACGGCUCAACCGUGGAGGGUCAUUGGAAACUGGGAGACUUGAGUGCAGAAGAGGAAAGUGGAAUUCCAUGUGUAGCGGUGAAAUGCGUAGAGAUAUGGAGGAACACCAGUGGCG